AGCGAUUUUGAACCUUACGUUCUCCGUCUGAAUAUUUAUGAGCCUAAACAAACAUGGUGCGCUUGCGUAACAAAGCGUAUGACAGCUUUCUUUGAAGCCAUGUUUGAACUUUGGAGGUUUAGCUUCUUGGUCAUCCACACUUUUUUUGAACUCGUAUAGCAAUUCCUGGCGGAAAUUUGUUUUCGGAAUGGUUUUCCAACAAGCCAUAAGACGAAUGCAAUGUGUCAACGAUGUCUGAUUCUGAAUUUUCUGUCGCUUAAAGAAAAGCCGUCAAAAGUUACGGAGUUAUAAGACUGUUCUCUUCAAUUUUCUUUUUGCUACCUAUAUUUUAUUUGUUUAGAAGUCUGUUAUGCAGGAAUACUUGGUGCGUAUAAAACUCGAGAAAAUACUGUGUGAAGCUAGUUUGGAUACAGAAAAUGUGUUUAAACUAAGGCUAUCUGUAGAGAGAUGACAGGCACACCGUACUUAGCCUGCUCGACUCGGAGGCCAUCACACCACGCCAGGAGGCCUGCUUUGGUGGCGCCAUACACAGCGAGACCUGGCAGAGCUGCCAGUGCACAGUGGCUACUGAUUGCGAUGACGCGACCUACAUGGAUACAAAGACCAGUGAAUGGUACUAAUGCUGUUAUUUUAAAGGGACACGCAGAGACAUGGGACUUGUUUUAAGGUGCGAACCCAGCAUUUACAUGGAUAGAUGCAGGAUAACUAGAAAAUACCUCAGGCAUUAUAGUCAAUUUGCAAGAAAUUUUCACUUGUAAAGUAUAAAUGACUGGGCUGAUGGGGAAAGGCAUUCAAAUGGAAGGUAAUUUGUGAUCCAGAGGCAGUGUAGUUUUUAAAACAUUUCACAGACAUAGAUAUAAGAGUGAUAUGAAGGGGUAAUUAGUGGGUGUGGAGGUAAAACUCCGUGUUCCUAUAAAGCGUUGGCACACAUGUAAAAUGUUACAUGGCACAUCACAAAAGACUGCCAUCUGUGUUCACAUAGUUAUAAUUUAUGGUGAACAAUAAACGAAGUAGUGAAUGUUGCUGUAGCAGAACGGA